UACGAAGGGGGCUAGCGUUGCUCGGAAUCACUGGGCGUAAAGGGCGCGUAGGCGGGCUCUUAAGUCAGAGGUGAAAGCCCAAGGCUCAACCUUGGAAUUGCCUUUGAUACUGAGGGCCUUGAGACCGGAAGAGGUCGGCGGAACUGCGAGUGUAGAGGUGAAAUUCGUAGAUAUUCGCAAGAACACCAGUGGCGAAGGCGGUCGACUGGUCCGGUUCUGACGCUGAGGCGCGAAAGCGUGGGGAGCAAACAGG
rnacentral:rRNA from 1 species